rnacentral:lncRNA from 1 species
CUCUGUAAAGCUCUUAAUCAGAUCUCACGACCGAUUAGCCCAAAUGUAUUUUCAGUUUCCAGAGUUAAUCAUCCUUGAGGACCAGGAGUUAACAAUGAGAAUGGGGGACGUGUCCUUGUUCCUGUCUUUUGGGGUAGACUUAUUUUGCAAAGCAAAAGUGGUUUCCCAGAAGAUGCAAUCUAGAAUUUUAAUGUUUACUUUCUAAAUGCUGGUGGGAUUGCUAGCUUCUUCUCAUCUCUGCGCCCUUAUCCUACAGCCCAAAGGGUAGAACCACAGGUAAAAUAGUGGGGAUGAAAAAGAGAAUGUCAGAGCGCCCCCACUGGCUGCCUGAGGGAAAGCACCCAAGGGGAUGUUUCCAGAAACAACCCAAGUAACAAGACUCCAGAAGAAAACACAUCAUUUCCGGGAGGACAGCAUACCAAGGGCCAGACUGGAAAUGCCUUCCCGUUACAGCCACAGACCUGCAGGUGACCUAGUUCAAGUUUCAGAAAGCAUGGGAGGCAUACCUGACCUACCGAAGGAAAGGCAAGAAGACUACAGUUGA